rnacentral:snRNA from 1 species
AUCCUUGUGGAAGGGGCAAUAGCGUUAUUAGUGACGCUUAGCGGAGGUGCGCUGUUUGCUAGUUGAAAACUACUCCAAUUCCCGUCAAGUUUGAUCCUCAAGGUCAUUCUUCAUUCCUGUGGAGCAAAAGC